CAGUGCUCCAGAGGUGCCACUGAUCCCAUUGCAUCACAGUGGGAACUCCUGGUCCUGGCUCUUCUGAAAUAGUCUGGACAAUCAGCAUAGUCCAUAAAUGUACACAGUCUCUGGGCAUGCGAGAUAAAACCUUAAAACAUUAUCCUGCUACUUCAUGCAAGCCAGUCUUGGAGACAACUUUCUGUUACAACAAGUGCAUCAGAAUUUAUAGAAGCACAAGAACGAGGGAAUCAUCUAAAUGUGCAACAAGAGACUAGCCAAAAAAUGGACCACACCCGCGGCCGGCCUACGCCACAGCCACAGCAACGUGGGAUCCAAGCCAUG